AGCUCUUGGUAUCUGUGCAGCUCGGCUCCUUCCUUGGGAGUGUUCGGAAGAGGUCCCUAAGAUUAACAAAAUCAAGGGCGCAGAGACUGAGACAGCGCCUUUUUGGUGACCAAUGUGUCCAACGAGUUUUGUUUUCAGUUGCGCAGCACCCACCUUCUUAGCAGAAACUCCCUGUUCGGGCUUCCCUGUGCCCCACCCCCUUCCAGGCCUGAUGGCCCUAGGCCUCCGUGCUUGGUUGGCCGGCAGGCUGACUCUGGUGGUAGAUCUGACUGCGUUGCCCUCCGGUAAUUGGAGUUCUGUUGACAGUGCUCAGGCAGGCGCUGCGGCAGAAGCACCAGGAAGCCCAGCAGGCCUGCCGGCCCCAUAACCUGCCUGUGCUUCAGGCGGCUCAGCAGCGAGAACUAGAGGUACUGGGGACGCAGGCAGGGUGGCCGGCCCAGCUCUCCUGUGGGCACCACCUGGCUCUGCUGACUGGGCUGAGCUGAAGGGGUGUGGGGGGCUCAGGUGUGGGUGGCUACCCUGGG
rnacentral:lncRNA from 1 species